rnacentral:tRNA from 2 species
GGGGUCGUCGUCUAGUAUGGCUAUGAUGCCAGCCUGGGGUGCUGGAGGUCGGAGGUUCAAAUCCUCCCGAUCCCA